rnacentral:lncRNA from 10 species
UAAAAUAUGCAGGCGAUGUAACAAUUCUAACUAAAUUAGGAUCAAUUGACAAUUGUUGGCCUAUGUUAAGUAUUUUCUUUACUGAAUACAAGUACCACAUAACUAAAAUUGUAAUGGAAGACUGCAAUUUGCUUGAAGAACUUAAAACUCAAAGUUGUAUGGAUUGUAUAGAGGAAGGAGAACUAAUGAAAAUGAAAGGAAAUGAAGAGUUUUCCAAAGAAAGAUUUGAUAUAGCUAUUAUCUAUUACACCAGAGCCAUUGAAUAUAGACCUGAAAACUACCUUCUUUAUGGUAACCGAGCUCUUUGUUUUCUUCGUACUGGACAGUUUAGGUAAGUUGGUUAAAAUAUCUCAACCACUGAAUUAUUAUGCUAAAUACCCAUUUUUGGGAAACGUUUCUGUUUUUCAGGUAUACAAGAAAAUCCUUGACUGGUUCUUUGGCAGAAAUACUUAAGUGGUUAAAAGAGUAUGCUUAGGCUUUAUAUAUAAUAACAACAGUGACAGCAGCAGCUAUUCUGAUUGAGUGCAGACAUAUGUUAAGCAUUAUUUUAAGUGCUUUGCAUAUGUUAUUUGG